UCUAUAAAUGCUCCCAAUAACUUUAAAGUGCAGAUACCUCAUUUUGAAACAGGCAAGUGUUCACUGUGAAUCAAAAUGGAGUCACCAAACAUGUGCAGCCUUCAGCUGGUGCUUCUUUUCUUGCAAGGUAACAAAGGAAAAUGUGUUGGAACAAAAAGUCUCUUUGUAACACUUUAAACUUGGGAAGCUUUGCAGGACAGCACACCUACACAAUGCCACAGCUUUUUGAGACCCUGUAGACCUCAUAUCUUCUUCUGUAAUUUGUUCUGGGACGGGGAAACUGCCAGGCUAACGAGCUCUCCUGCAGCCUCUUCCCCUGCAGGUGCUACCCUGGAAGCACAAUCUUAAAUCAGACACAGCCAUGCCAGAUGUAACCUCCUGAACAAAUGCUCCCACUGUGGUCUGAGCAAGCCAUGGCAGCACUAGUGUCUGACUUUGAUGAAAUCACAAACUUCUUUUCCAUUCCAUUCAGACAGUGGAAGCCAAAUUAAUUCCUCAGCUUUUUUAAUGCUUAGAGCCCCAUCUCAGGAAUUCAAUACAGGAACAUAUUAAUCUCUCUGAUAGGUGAUGGUGCAAUAUAUUACUGAUGGGGGAGCCAGCACGUCAGCACUGUGAUAGUGACCCUGACCAGCAGAUGACUGAAUGGGACAACAGACAUCUGGAGAGGGUGGAAGUGGGAAUGUUGCUUGGAAGAGAAGAAAGAACUCAGAGCUACCAUAAAGACAGAAAUGGAUUUAAGAGAGAAAAUGAAAAUAACCACAAGGUCUUCAGGGGAGUUUGCAAAGAACAAGCAGACAACUACUGACAUUUACAUGAACAUCAAAGUCAGAAGAUAGACUCAAGGGUUCAGAAGAAGAACUCAACUUUAGAAGCCUGCCCUGCACAACUAGGAUAUGGGCAGGUCUAUAUGCCAAGUAUCGCACUACCCAUGUUUCUGAAUAGGUGACUGUACCACUGGACUGAACAAACUGGCUGCUUUACAUCAGCUCUAUCAUGAGGACAUGAGACAGGAUGAACAGACUGAGAGACUGCAUCUGCAGAAUAAACCAGAGGGUGGGACCCUGUAGAGCCCAGCCUGCCAGGUGGAACCUCCUGCCCGAAGCUGCAAGUUAACUGCCACUGGAUCAGACUGCAACUACAAAAGAGAAGAAAGUGUUCGACUGCUAGGGUGAAUUCCUGAGCCAACACAUGAACUGUCCUGCCUGUGAGACCCAGGGCUCAAGAUCCGAGGUGAGUGCCAGCAAACACCCAGACCUUGUGCCACUGAGUCAGAAACUUGUGGUAUGACAGCAAUGGCCUUCAGCCGAGCCAGAUUUCCAAUGAACACUGGCAGAAAAUGUCAUCUUCUUUGGGGAAAUAAACACUUUCGAAUACCUUCUCAAAUC